GGGGUGUUCUUUUCUAUUUAGUUUUUUGUUUGUUUAUUUAUAUAUUUGUGUAGAAAAAUAAGAGACAGCGCGGCGAUUUUCAGGUAGUUAAAAGUGAACGCGUUAGCAAUUUUUGAAAGAAAAAAAAAACAAAUUAAUUACAUAAAAUACGUCAUCAAGGGGAAGUUAAUUUAGUUCCUGUUAUCUGAAUUUAAAUCACAAGGAAGGCGGUUCCCCUUGUUGACAUAAAAAUCAUCUUGUGUUUUAGAUUUCAUACGAUGUUGUGGUGAACAUGGGAUAUUGUACGAGUUUUGAGGAUGGAAUACAAUGUAGUCAGCUUCAAGGAUAUAAUUUUUAAUUUUUGUAUAAUGUGACAUGCUAACAAGGCUAUGUUAUAUGUGUUGAGCCCCUUAUCCCCUGACGCCUUCAUUGUCAGCAUUUUACACCAAAGAUUACGGAGCUACAUAAUUCUGGCCAACGGAGAAGAGAUAGACGUAUAUAUAUGUAUAUAAUUGUAUAUAAAACAGUGCUCAGGAUGAACCACGAAUUGUUUGCUCUGAAAGUUUCCCAAAUGGCCUUUCUUCAACAGGCACUUAAAUUCGAGUCAUUUUCCAAGGGAUGGGAGUCGAGGUGGAUGGACAGCCGGAGAAUAUUGUCUGAAAAUUCUUGACUAUUAAAAAAAUUUCAGAAACACACACGGUGGGGUACGAGGUUACAUCUUUCCUGGGUCCUACCCGGUGUUUUGAAAUAUCCAGUGGCAUUUUCCAUAUGUACACCUAAACGAGCAGAUAAUUACAAGGGAAGUUGACACGGCAUGACAAAUCGACCGUACAUGAUCCGAUUCUCAGCCUCAUUGGAAGUAAAUUGGAAAAAAUUACAUGCCUGGUUCUCGGCAUGAAUCGCCCUGUGCCCUUGGCUUUGUCAACACGGCCAUCGGUGCCUGUGUUCCGGUAAAUGCUCACCCCCGAGAUCGACUUUAUGAUUAGAUAGAUAAGAUGGAGGUACAUUCCUCUCUUCGUACAAAGACUGGAGGUGAAUGGUGGUUGCAUAUUUUUAUAAAAAAUUACAUCACAGCACGGCAUAAGAGACAGUGAGAUCACGCCAUUCUAUCGCGACCAUCAGCUUCCCUCAGAUCGGUGUCAUCUUGGAACAAAACAAAGUAUUUUUGCGGUAGGUAGUUACACGACGUUUGAAAAACAGAAAUGGCACCCAUGCAUACAGGUGUAAUGGUGUCAAAGAUCGUCUCCCUCCGGUAUCAGAUCUCGUCAUAUCUGUCUUGAACAUCACAUCCACUUCCGCUUCGUUAAACCGUCGUUCACAAUCUUUUGUUUUUGUGAACAUAGUUGCAAAUUGAUGAAUUUAGUUUUUUU